UGCAGAUUUGACAUGCCAUGUUGACUGAUUUUUUUUCUUUCUACUUUUCUUUUUGUUUUUUUUUCCUUGAAAAAACCGGUUCACUGCAAAUAGCAGAGCAGAGCAACCUCGUCCCCUUCCUCCUUCCUCUCGUGGCCUCCGUUCGGUCCAGACUCGCCCGCCCGCGCCAGAUCCCAGCUGCAGCGAUAACCGCAGGAGCCGAACGUGCCCACUACCUGCUCGCCCAGGGCGUCCUCUCCGACUCCGAGCAUGCCCCACCCAAGCAGCAUGCGCUCCGAGCUCGUCCGUCUCCGCCAUGCCCACUGCCCGAAACAAAGGCCCAAGACAGAGAGAGCACCGACGCACCCUUGACGGCAUGGUGUCUGGAGUGGCCCUCGACGACACACGCGCGGACAGCCGACCAAGUCCGAGGCGAGUUGGGCACAAAUCGCUGGUGCUAACUAAACCGCGGCCGUCCUACUCCUGGCACAAGGCGGCGCGUGCAUCCGAAGGGAUGGGCGGCCACCGGAAUUUCGACGCCGCCCUCAACCUGUUUGACAAAAUGUCAAGCCAAACAUCUGAACCGGUUUCUGAAGAGAAAAAAAAAAUUCAAAACGAGAACCAGCUGUAAAAUGUGGAAGGAAAUCUUUCAAUUAGGAGACACCAACUGACCGAAUGUCGAUUUGGGGAUAAAAUCUGUCACAAGCAUAUAUUAGGGUAAAAUAAAAAAUGGAAUUAACUCAAAAAAAGAAUGUGAAAAUGUGUCGACAUACAUAGGAAAUUCACCUUAGCAAAAAAGAUUGAUUAACAUGAUUACACCAAAGUCAGCAAUGCGAAUAUUUGCUCCUGUAUUAAGAAGAGCAAAGUGCCCUCUUUUUCUAAAAGAUUGUUCUUUAAGAAUACAACCCAAAUGCCUACCGCAACCAAUAGCAAAUUCAGCAAUAUACUGAACAAUACUGUCUGUUACUACUCACAACACUGCUGAUAUUUACAAACUAAAUGCUUAAUCACAC